AUAUGUCACUUAACGUAAUUAUGUAAAACACUAAAUAAGCAGUCGUAUAUUAUGUAUGUAAGUACAAUGUACAUGUAAACCAAUUUAUUAAACAGUGAUAUGUAGCAAAAAUAAAUAUAAACAUACACAAAUAUUCGCAACGUUACACUUUAAUUUCCUGUCUCCAUGGUUUCCAAAACGUAGAAAGCUCAUGGAUAAAUAAUUUAACGAAAAUUGUAUUAGGGGCUCUGACUUAGCAGUCAUUGUUAUGAAUCAACCCUUGUCCGAUGGUAAAAAGCAGAUAAAUACUAAUAAUCUUUACCAAAAUCAGGAUCCUUUUUAUAUAAGUGGAGUUAAUUUUGGUUCCCCUGACGAUUUAUACGUGUACUACGAAGAACCUCCGCUAAAGGUCCAUCAAAGUACAAAAAUGAGUGUCUCUGAGAUUGGACGAGGACCCUCUUACAACAAGCCCUUAGACGCCAAUAGAUAUGCUACGAAAAAAACAAUUGCACAAGGAAUGCUGGAUAUAGCUCUACUCACUGCAAAUGCGUCACAAUUAAAAUAUGUACUCCAAGUAGGAGAAGAGAAUCAUCCAUUCUAUUACCUUAUGAUUUCGCUCAUUUCAAUAUCCAUAAUAUUACAGAUGAUUGUUGGUGGAUUAUCGGUAACUUUGAAUUUAAUGCGAGACUGCCGUCUUUAUUUGGAUGAAUAUCGAUACUCGGCUCUACUCAUAAACUAUUUUAGUCUAGGUAAUGACGGCAAUUACACUUUUAGUACUGGGGCCAAUGAACCUUCUAGAUAUCAACUCAAAGUUUAACAAUAUAGUUCUAAAUUAUGUAGCAAUGUCGCUGUCUUUGGGGAGCAUGUUUAUAGACAUCUUUAAAAUGGGAUUCGUGAGUGAUAUCUCCUAUUCCUCCGUAGAAAAGACCAAAGCAGAACUAUGAAAUGAAUAUUUAGCGAAUAAUUCCAUAUGUUAUAUGAUCUUAAUGGCAUUGUUGGCGUACUAUUUUUAAUAAUUGGAGGUUUAAACAUCAAUAAGAAAACGGAGCAUAAAGCAGCAGAUAGACUGAAUAAUGUGAUCAUACUGAUAAUUUUUUUUAUUACUUUGAUAAAUGUUGUCCUCAAUGGCUUCGGCAUAAGAACAACAGAUUUAAAAAAAUAAAUAUCUUUAAAAUGUG
rnacentral:misc_RNA from 1 species